rnacentral:rRNA from 1 species
UAAUACGAAGGUGGCAAGCGUUAUUCGGAUUUACUGGGCGUACAGGGAGCGUAGGCGGUUCGGUAAGCCCUCUGUGAAAUCUCCAGGCUUAACCUGGAAAAGUCGGGGGGGACUGCUGGGCUAGAGGACGGGAGAGGAGCGCGGAAUUCCCGGUGUAGCGGUGAAAUGCGUAGAGAUCGGGAGGAAGGCCGGUGGCGAAGGCGGCGCUCUGGAACGUUUCUGACGCUGAGGCUCGAAAGCGUGGGGAGCAAACAGGAUUAGAUACCCUGGUAGUCCACGCCUUAAACUAUGAAUACUAAGUGUCGGCGGUUUACCGCCGGUGCCGCAGCUAACGCAUUAAGUAUUCCGCCUGGGAAGUACGGCCGCAAGGUUGAAACUUAAAGGAAUUGACGG